CUUAGCUCAGUUGGUAGAGCAACUGUCUUGUAAACAGUAGGUCGCGAGUUCGAGUCUCGCAGG
rnacentral:tRNA from 1 species